GCGAGCCACGUCGUGUCUGUGCGCAGGCGCGCCCUCCGUCCUCUGCGUCGUCAGAGCCGCGCGAGCGCUGCUGCUGCACCUCAGCCCUUGUGAUUUCCCGUUUGACGUUCGGGACCAACCUGGCCGCAGCCGCGCUGACUCCAUCUUGGGUUCCUACAAUGUCUGUCAAAGAAAAUAGCACCUUUGGAAGCUGACUUUGCAGCACAUCUCCGCCAGUCUAAACAAAAUUAGGAAUCUAGGUCAGCAGCUCUACACGGAGUCCAUGGCCAAGUCACCAGAUGAGCAAGUGACGGGCGCGCGCAGAACGGCUUGGCCCCGAGUCAGCGCCAGACCUCCUCCCAGGGCCCUGCCCCGUCGUGGGGUGACGUGGCGCGUGUGAGCAGAAAGCCAUGAGCCUGUGCUGCCACCUUUCCCAUUUCCCUGCGUGGUGCUGAGAGCAAUAAUGCCUGUGUUAAAAUACUACCAAGGAUCGGCGGAGGCACUGGAAAUGUGUUGCUGUGGAGACCUUACAUCAGAUGCAAUAUAUUAUUUUGAGGUAGAAACAUUUCUAAAAGAUGUAUGUUGUGAAAUUUACAACAGUGAUCAGAACUAGUUUCUAAAGAGGUAUAAAUUAUGUCAUUUGAGGAGAUAAAGUGGAACUUAAAACAUUUAAAGCAAAAUAAAGCAGAAAAGAAACAAAAUCCCCGAUGGAACAAGUGAAAAGCCGCUAGCAAAGUGGUAUACUUUAAUCCAGCUGUCUCCGUAGUCACAUGAAACGGGAAUGUUCUCAGUAUACCAGCGAGAAGACUGAAAGUGUCAAUGGGAUGAAAAAAAAUGAGAGGCAUCUGUCCAGUAUCGACAAGAAUUCAUUUUGCAAAUAGAAACAUAGGUUAAGAGCAAAAGGUUAAAAAAGAUUCACAUGCUAACAGGAAUGCAAAGAAAGCUGGAGGGGCGCCUGGGUG